CAACCUCAACUCAUAUGGGACUACCCCCUGAAUUUAAGCAUAUUAAUUAGGGGAGGAAAAGAAACUAACAAGGAUUUUCUUAGUAGCGGCGAGCGAAAAGAAAACAGUUCAGCACUAAGUCACUUUGUCUAUAUGGCAAAUGUGAGAUGCAGUGUAUGGAGCGUCAAUAUUCUAGUAUGAGAAAUUAAUGAUUUAAGUCCUUCUUAAAUGAGGCCAUUUACCCAUAGAGGGUGCCAGGCCCGUAUAACGUUAAUGAUUACUAGAUGAUGUUUCCAAAGAGUCGUGUUGCUUGAUAGUGCAGCACUAAGUGGGUGGUAAACUCCAUCUAAAACUAAAUAUAACCAUGAGACCGAUAGUAAACAAGUACCGUGAGGGAAAGUUGAAAAGAACUCUGAAUAAAGAGUUAAACAGUACGUGAAACUGCUUAAAGGUUAACCCCGAUGAAACUGAAAAUCCGUUUAUGGAAAAUCCAUCAUAAAAAUUGGAAUAUUCAAAAUAAUAUUACUAAAAAAAAAGGUGC
rnacentral:ncRNA from 1 species